GACGAACGCUGGCGGCGUGCUUAACACAUGCAAGUCGAACGGUGAAGCGCCUUCCUUUUUGGUGGGUGUGGAUGAGUGGCGAACGGGUGAGUAACACGUGAGUAACCUGCCCCCUUCUUCUGGAUAACCGCAUGAAAGUGUGGCUAAUACGGGAUAUUCUGGGUCUGUCGCAUGAUGGGUCUGGGAAAGAUAUUGUUUCGGUGGGGGAUGGGCUCGCGGCCUAUCAGCUUGUUGGUGGGGUGAUGGCCUACCAAGGCGGUGACGGGUAGCCGGCCUGAGAGGGUGGACGGUCACACUGGGGCUGAGACACGGCCCAGACUCCUACGGGAGGCAGCAGUGGGGAAUAUGGCACAAUGGGAGAAAGCCUGAUGCAGCGACGCCGCGUGAGGGAUGGAGGCCUUCGGGUUGUGAACCUCUUUCGCCAGUGAAGCAGGCCUGCCUCGUUUGUGGGUGGGUUGACGGUAGCUGGAUAAGAAGCGCCGGCUAACUACGUG
rnacentral:rRNA from 1 species